GACGAACGCUGGCGGCGUGCUUAACACAUGCAAGUCGAGCGGAAAGGCCCUGCUUUUGUGGGGUGCUCGAGUGGCGAACGGGUGAGUAACACGUGAGUAACCUGCCCUUGACUUUGGGAUAACUUCAGGAAACUGGGGCUAAUACCGGAUAGGAGCUCCUGCUGCAUGGUGGGGGUUGGAAAGUUUCGGCGGUUGGGGAUGGACUCGCGGCUUAUCAGCUUGUUGGUGGGGUAGUGGCUUACCAAGGCUUUGACGGGUAGCCGGCCUGAGAGGGUGACCGGCCACAUUGGGACUGAGAUACGGCCCAGACUCCUACGGGAGGCAGCAGGGGGGAAUAUUGCACAAUGGGCGGAAGCCUGAUGCAGCAACGCCGCGUGCGGGAUGACGGCCUUCGGGUUGUAAACCGCUUUCGCCUGUGACGAAGCGUGAGUGACGGUAAUGGGUAAAGAAGCACCGGCUAACUACGUG
rnacentral:rRNA from 1 species